CGGCUUAUGAGUAAGGCCUUUCCGGUUCUUGCAGCGUUUCCUUCCGUAUGGUUGGUAAAGCUGCGAGGGUUCGCCGGAAAGGGUUCAUAAGCCU
rnacentral:ncRNA from 1 species